GCGCAGCAGGCGAGAAUUUUCUCAAUGGGGGCGAACCCUGAAGGAGCGACGCCGCGUGGAGGAUGAAGGCUUUCGGGUUGGUAAACUACCUGUCAUUGUAGAACAAGUGUUAGCAAGUAACUACUGCUAGCUUGAUAGUAUCAGAAGAGGAAGGGACGGCUAACUCUGUGCCAGCAGCCGCGGUAAUACAGAGGUCCCAAGCGUUGUUCGGAUUCAUUGGGCGUAAAGGGUGCGUAGGUGGCGCGCUAAGUCAGGUGUGAAAUCUCGGGGCGUUAACUCCGAAACUGCAUUUGAUACUGGCGUGCUUGAGGACUGGAGAGGAGACUGGAAUUCAUGGUGUAGCAGUGAAAUGCGUAGAGAUCAUGAGGAAGACCAGUGGCGAAGGCGGGUCUCUGGACAGUUCCUGACACUGAGGCACGAAGGCCAGGGGAGCAAACGGGAUUAGAUACCCGGGUAGU
rnacentral:rRNA from 1 species